ACGCAAAUUGCUCUGGCAAGUGUCAUUCGUCGUGUUUUCAGUCAAAAGCAUAGGAAAAACACCGUUCGAAAGUAGAAAAAUAAAUAUUUUUGCGAAGUUGCUCAACCGAUCUUCAUUUUGGAACUCAAAUUUGAAAGAUAAAUGGUAAGUGGUUAUUUUUAUGUAAAAAUAUAUACGUUUAUAGGCUAAAUACAAAGAAAAAAUAGUAUAAUACAAAUUACAAUCUCGGUGCUUGUGAUGUUCUUGCCAAGAAGCAGAUUCCCAUUUCGCUAAAUUAAUGCGGGCCAAACGUAUUGCUUUCCUGUCUUUUACAUUAAUAAGAAAGCAUAGGUGCUGAUUUGAAACACGUCCAUCAGGUUCCAUGCAUGUAGCUUUGCGAUUUGUGAGCAAAAAUUAAAAGUUAAACUACCUAUGUUUUUAAUACUUUCUGUGCAACUAAUAACCACAUUCACAAAUAUAUUCUCCAGCAAAGAAACGUUUCUUUACGGAUUGUUAAUCCGCAUUUGAAGGCAUGCUUAUGCCUUCAAAGGUCAGAGGUCUUUAACAUGCAGAAUAGCAGAGACUACUGUCAUUGACAUCCUUUGUCACAAAAUUAUGAUGGCAUAUUGGACAGCUACUGUAUGUUGGAUAAGGCACUUCCUUAAUAAAUAGCCUGACACAUAAGUUCAUGCAGACUAAGUUUUGUUCAAUUUCAUUUGUUUUGUAGUCGGUAUCUUCAACUGCUUGGAUUAGUGGUGGGCUUGUCUGAUCAUUUCCUGCAGAUAAAUCAGAUUGGCUAGGGUGAAAUGCAAUCAAAUAGGC